GACGGAGGGUGCUAGCGUUGUUCGGAAUUACUGGGCGUAAAGGGCGCGUAGGCGGUCAGCACAAGUCAGUUGUGAAAUCUCCGGGCUUAACUCGGAAAGGUCAACUGAUACUGUGCGACUAGAGUGCGGAAGGGGCAACUGGAAUUCUCGGUGUAGCGGUGAAAUGCGUAGAUAUCGAGAGGAACACCUGCGGCGAAGGCGGGUUGCUGGGCCGACACUGACGCUGAUGCGCGAAAGCCAGGGGAGCGAACGGG
rnacentral:rRNA from 1 species